UACCCUCAAGAGAAGUCGAAUCUCCGUUUUUUAUUAAAAAAUGUCCUAAACCACUAGACGAUGAGGGC
rnacentral:tRNA from 1 species